rnacentral:misc_RNA from 1 species
GUCCUAGUGAUGAGAGUUUUCAGAACUGGUAAUUCCAAAGGUUUAUUUACCAAUGUAGGCUAUGAAGAAUCAGAAAGAUGAACAAAACUUUAUGGUUUUUUAUGACAGAAUGAAAUUGAUGGCAAAAAGAUACAAAAGCAACUGCCCAUCAGACAAAGCAACACACUAUGUUGAAACUUUGUACGUUUCUCACCCCCUCUGAUGCAAAUGGUUACACACAGAUUAACAAUGGCAAGCGGCAUUAACCUUAUAUAUAAACACUUGGCAAAAAGGUUGGAAAUAAGCAUAUCAUAGUAAUGUGCAUCACAGAAAGAAGCAGCAAGUCAUUAAGACAAAAAACUUCAAUAGUGCGUGUAGUAGUAACCUCCUGGCUGUCUCAAACCACUGACCUGUGGCAUCCCAUAAGGCAUCAUCAUAGAUUGAGGACUCGGGCCAUAGUACGCUGAAUAUCCGCUAAUAUUAGCCAAACCCACUUGGCCAUGCAUUCCAUCCCUUCCAUAUUGUUUCCAUAUCUGCUGUUCCUGAAGCAGCAAGUGCUGCUUCCUCUCCAUGUCUGCUAUCUGCACAUAUGAAGG